rnacentral:lncRNA from 1 species
GCAUUUUUAACUUUUAAGGGAGGGUGGAGACGGGGAUCUUUGAAUGAGAAGUUAACAGAUAUGUCUUUAAAAUCAGCAGUGACUGGAACCUUAUGAAUAAGUUAUUAGAUGCUCUAUACUUCUUUCCCCGAAGUUGUCAGGUGUCUUAAGAGGUAAAUUAAUGUUGGUUCAGGAAGUAUAAAGUGAGUCAUAGGAAGAGAAUCUGGUUCAAUGAUCUUGAAAUGUAUUAAAUGUCAAAGAUGAUAAUUUAAGCUCUUUUUUCUAGUUUUUUAGGGGGGUGAUCCAUUAUCUAAAUACUUUCAAGAGGCCGAGCUGACUAUUGAUGUAGAAUGAUUCAGACAACAUGAAUUUGCUCCCAGAACUUAUAGCUAUAUCGACAUAUGGAGAGCAAACCAGAAUGUGACCACUGCAGCCCUGUCCUCGUUUUCCUGCCUUCCUGUUCCUCGGAGGGAUGACGGUUUUUGACUCAUUUGCUGAAAGCCUGAUAGACAUCUUGAAUAAUUUACCAACUUCGAGUCUAGAUUUCAAACUUAAGACAGCUCUGAAACCCAGUAGCCACAUCUGCCUUUUCUUUAAAGCGCCAGAGACAGGAACAUUACAAGAGAAACAGAGUGGGAGGUUUAUUAAAGACGCCAGAGCCUUAGGAAGACGCCCGGAUGAGGAUUCGGAAAUACCUCUUGACAUUAAUUUAUCUUCUGCUCCAGAUUCUUCAACAUGUUUAUCUCAAGAAGCGCGAAGUCAUUCCCUUGCGCCCUUCUUCAGGAUGAUGGAGCUUUGGGUGAUUCUCUCCUCCAGUCACUCUGACCCCCUGCACCCGCAACUAGUGCUACACAACUCCCGUCUCCUUAGGAGGGAACUGCUUGUGACAAAGUAGCACAUCCUCAAGUUCUAACAGUAGAUGUCAGCACUAACCUUGCUCAUUUAGUUUUCAGCAUCCGUUCUAACAUAGCACGGUUCAAGUUGUUAUCUGCUCAACAGCAACAUCUUAAGGACAGGAAAUAUCUAAAAUGCUAUUUUUAAAGAAAAUAGAUAAUCAGAUGCUUAUCUUUAAAAAGUCUGAAUUUCCUCUUGGGAAGGAAGAGGUUGAAGAAUUUGCACACAUUCAUGGAGACAAGUGAAAUGCAAAUGGAACCUUGCCUACUUUCAGAUAGCUUUUCUUACUCAUCAAGCUCCCAGACAAAUCUAUUUGUGAUGACAUUCCUGAAGAAAGUAACAGACAAGGCUUCAAGUCAAAAAGAGAAAAUUCGCAUUUUAUUAUAUAAAAUUUACAUCUCGG